CUAAAAUCAACGAGACAGACACCUUUGGGCCUGGAGACGACGAUGAGAUCCAGUUUGAUGACAUUGCAGACGACGACGAUGACAUUGAUGAUAUCUAAAGGCCUGCUUCAGGAGGGAAUCGAUUCAGCGCAUUUUUUUACCAUUGGCUAAUGUCCAAUGUCCAAUAAAGUGAAUUCAAAUACAG